rnacentral:lncRNA from 1 species
GCAGGCACAGGUGGUGACCGGGGCUCUGUUUGGGCUUCUUGCUCUCUGUCUGGAGCCAUCUGCUGCUCUCUGCUCCUGCAAAUGCAAAGGAUCCUGCAUGCAGGAGACAGCAGAGAAGCAGAAUCCUUUUGAAGUGAGUCUGAAAUUUUUCUUCCCUUUAAGUUUUAUUCCUCCGGCGUUGAGAUGAUUGAGCACGUUUUCUAAAGUCACCUAUGGAUGCUCCUCCCACAGGAUUUCCAGAGUCCACAGCAAAGAUGUAAAGAACAAACCCAAGACAAGCCUACUAAGCCCAACCUGUACUUUCUAGGUGUGCUGCAUGCUGGAGCUGUGAUCAUUAUAGUCUUGUGCAGGUUUUGUUUUAUAGGUGUAUUUACCCUCAUCAACCGCAAAUCCUUUCUGACAUUCCUACCCUGUUCCAUCCCAGUCCAAAUCCAGCUUGCUGUAAACUCUGCUGAAAAGUCUCCUUUCCGAAUUAGAAUAAGUUCUACAAAUUGUUAGCAGUCACCUCAGUUGCAUGAAGAAUUUUAACAAUAUUUGUGUGUAUUUCUGGCUUAACUAUGCCCCUUCCUAAAACUCCAUCUUUGCAAAUGAAAGAGUAAAAUAUUGCUUAACAUGCUCUGUGUAUCACAGUAAGAAGCACUUUAAGCCUGUUCUUAGAUCCUCUCAUGAAAGGGGAGUUGGCUCUAUAGAUCUAAAAUUCCUUUUAAUGUACAUUACCAGCUUGAGGACUUAUACAGCCCCAGGCACCAAGAAUUUGCUGUCUGCAUCAUAACUUCCAGAGUGAUCUCCAAUAUCACCAGUGCAGCACAAAUUCUUUCACAGCUUAAUGAAAACACAGGACAUUCCUGAUGGAAGACAGAGCAGCCACUCAGUAAAAUGUAUUUUAAACGGAAAGAUUUAUUUUAAUUGAAAUAAGAAUAUUAAUUCAGAGAUCGAUAAAGAUAGAUAGAUAGAUAGAUAGAUAGAUAGAUAGAUAGAUAGAUAGAUAGAUAGAUAGAUAGAUAGAUAAUACAUACAUGUUCCAGCAUUAAGAAACCCCUCCAAAUCUCUGUGUCCAGGUAUUUAUUUACUCUUGGCUCCACCUCACUGUGUGACGAGCAAGAAUCGCCCAUGGGCCUGAUGCAGCAGCGCCUCUUAGUGAUAGAAGUCAAUUCCUCAUUUAGCUACUUCGGGAGCAGGAAUAUUUUUUUUUCUUACCUUUCCGGUUUCUUGAUACCCAAAUCACUAACACAGCAGACAAAGAUUUUAACUUCCAGCAACUUUUGACAGUUAAAAUUAUUAUUCAAAAUACAGUUAUUGUUGUGUUUAUAGGCAUGAAUUUGCACCACAAUCUCCCUUCAGAUCAUGGGUUGACAUUUCUUGGUUUUUUUUUUUGAAUCUUUCAAUAUAUUUUCAAAAUCUGAAACACACUUUUUAACUGUUAUUAAAACAAAUUCCCAUCUUAAAUCUACUAAGGAUGCUUUUUUGAUUACAACGUGUUUGAUUUGUUGACCAGUAAAAUUUCCAAAGAGAUUGCAGACUGAGUUCUUCUUAAGUCCGGAAUUUUUUACCAGCUUAGCUGUCUGAAAUUCAAUGGAAGCCUUUUAUUUAGACACAGGUAUUGAUAUUGAAAUACAACUUUUCAAACAACCUUUGCCUCUUGCUGGGUUUCAGUCUGACAGCAUCCUUUACAAGUGUGGUGAACAGUAGCUUUUUACUGGGAGACCUAAUCAACAUGAGUGCAAAAGACUCACGAAAGUGAAAAAAAAAAGUACAAGAAGAGUGGAAGGUGCUAAGUGAAAACUCAUUUAAUUCAACAUUGUCUCUACAAUAAAAGUUGAUUCUACGUUCUUGAUGCA